rnacentral:rRNA from 1 species
GGACGAACGCUGGCGGCGUGCUUAACCCAUGCAAGCCGAACGGAAAGGCCCUGCUUUUGUGGGGUGCUCGAGUGGCGAACGGGUGAGUAACACGUGAGUAACCUGCCCUUGACUUUGGGAUAACUUCAGGAAACUGGGGCUAAUACCGGAUAGGAGCUCCUGCUGCAUGGUGGGGGUUGGAAAGUUUCGGCGGUUGGGGAUGGACUCGCGGCUUAUCAGCUUGUUGGUGGGGUAGUGGCUUACCAAGGCUUUGACGGGUAGCCGGCCUGAGAGGGUGACCGGCCACAUUGGGACUGAGAUACGGCCCAGACUCCUACGGGAGGCAGCAGUGGGGAAUAUUGCACAAUGGGCGGAAGCCUGAUGCAGCAACGCCGCGUGCGGGAUGACGGCCUUCGGGUUGUAAACCGCUUUCGCCUGUGACGAAGCGUGAGUGACGGUAAUGGGUAAAGAAGCACCGGCUAACUACGUG